rnacentral:rRNA from 1 species
CGAGUUGUAAUUUGUAGAGGAUGUUUUGGGUACCGCGCUGGUUUAAAUUUCUUGGAACAGAAUGUCAGAGAGGGUGAGAAUCCCGUCUUGGACCGGCGUAGGGCCCGUGUAAAACUCCUUCGAC